AAGAUGGCAUCUCAAUGUGUUACCCAGGCUGGUCUUGAACUCCUGGACUCAAUCCUCCUACCUUGGCCUCCCAAAGUGCUGGGAUUAUAGGUAAUCCACCCGCCUUGGCCUCCCAAAGUGCUGGGAUUACAGGUGUGAGCCACCAUGCCCAGCCAGAAACUGCCACUUUUAAACCAUCAGAUCUCAUUGAGAACUCCCUCACUAUCACGAGAACCGCAUGAGGGAAACCACCCCCAUGAUCUGAUCACCUCCCACCAGGUCCUGCCCUCAACAUGUGGGGAUUACAAUUCAAGAUGAGAUUUGGGUCAGGAAACAGAGCCAAACCAUAUCAAGAGCCUCUGGUAACCACUGUUCUACUCAAUACUUCUAUGAGGUGAACUUCUUUGGAUUCCACAUAUGAUCAAGAUCAUGAGGAAGGAGGAGCAAGUCUUCUUUGUCAUGCUAUUAAGAAAAUACCCAGAGUCACAGCACCAUGAUCUCCUUGUGAAGCAGAACAAGUAAUAUAAAACUGAUCUAAAGAGGCCUCCCCUCUACUCUUAUCUGUCUGGUCGAGUCAUUUGGGUCCAAGUGGGCACCAUUGUGGGAGGGUGGGAGGACUCAUCACUGGGGGCCCAGGCAUCAUUGGCAUGUGGCCUCCUGUGUUAGUUUGUUCUCAUGCUGCAAAUAAAGACAACUUGAGACUGGAUAAUUUAUAAAGGAAAGAGGUUUAAUGGACUCACAGUUCCACAUGGCUAAGGAGUACUCACAAUCAUGGCGGAAGACAAAGGAAGAGCAAAGGGACAUCUUACAUGGCAGCAGGCAAGAGAGCGUGUGCAGGGGAAGUCCCCUUUAUAAAACCAUCAGAUCUCAUGAGACUUAUUCACUAUCGCGAGAACAGCAUGAGAAAAACCCACCCCCAUGAUUCAAUUACCUCCCACCGUGUCCCUCCCAUGUCAUGUGAAGAUUAUUACAACUCAAGGUGAGAUCUGAGUGGGGACACAGAGCCAAAUGAUAUCACCUCCAAUGGGCAGCCUCAUUCCAGGAGCACAUCCCAUUGGCAUCAUCCAGGAGGAGGGGGGGGCCAUCAUUGGCAUCAUGGGAGGGCCCCCCAGCUGGGGUGCUGGCAUCAUACCUGGUGAGGAACAGGAAGAGACUGGGGGGAGGUUGGAUCAUCGCUCCUGCAGGAGGAGGAACAGAGAACAGAGUAGGAGGUGUUCUUCCUUGUUGAGAUGCAGUCUUUGUUCUGUCAGCCAGGCUCCGAGCCUGCUCUUCUAUCCAUUUCUGGUAGUAGUCUUUCACAUUCUCUUUGUGUUUCCUUCCACUGCA
rnacentral:lncRNA from 1 species